rnacentral:rRNA from 1 species
UACGUAGGGAGCAAGCGUUGUCCGGAAUCAUUGGGCGUAAAGCGCGCGUAGGUGGCCCUGUAAGUCCGUUGUGAAAGUCAAAGGCUCAACCUUUGAAAGCCGAUGGAUACUGCAGGACUAGAGUACGGAAGAGGCGAGUGGAAUUCCUGGUGUAGCGGUGGAAUGCGCAGAUAUCAGGAGGAACACCAAUAGCGAAGGCAGCUCGCUGGGACGUUACUGACACUGAGGCGCGAAAGCGUGGGGAGCAAACAGG